UAAUUUUUUAGUGAAACUUUAUGCACGCCCAUAGAACAUGAAGACGUACCCGUGCAACCUUUUUCAGAUUUUCGUGGCAUUUAGAAAUGUGUUUUUCAAAGUGGGUUCAUAUGUACCCGGGUUCAUCUAUGCACUUCCCCUAUCCGCGCCCCCUACAUUCCGCGUGGCUUCGCGGCUUCCCUACAUUGCCGGAUUCAUCGGUCCGUGGUGCUCCCCACCGCCCACACACUCCUCAAUCUUUCUACCCACCGGAUCCAUACGCCGGUGGUGCUCCACGCCGAAGGGUGCUUCUGUAUAUUGCCUUUACUGGCGCGGAAUUCAUAAUGGGCCGGUUAUUGGCGAAUCCAUAAUGGGUUGGUUACUGGCGUGGCCCAUUAAAAGAUAUACUUUUUCUUGUUAAAUCUCAAAAUUUAUAUUUACUUUAUAAUAAUAUAUUAAAAAUUAUUUCAAAAGAAAAUGUUCACGUGUACAAAAGAAAUGUUCAGGUAUAUUGGAAAAAAAAGGGUUCAUAUAUUAGGAAAAAAUGUUCACAUAUAAUUUGAAUCUAGCUUAGUUUGCUUUUAUCUUUGUCGCAUUCAUACAAGUGUUCGCUGCACUGUUGCAUCUCUAUGCACUACCAUAGUACUGCUGUAAGUAUGGAGGCAGUAGUAAUAAUUUGCACACUUUUGGUUACUUAUAAAUUACCUGUGGGCUGUGGUUGGAAUAGUGUGAUUGACAUGCCAAUAACAGGAUGCACAACGACCGUACAGAGACCAGCUCACAUUACUCCAAGACAAGUCUUCAUCUACCUUGCUGAGAACCUUCUCAUAUGUUUGACGGAAUAGCGGAGGUUGACGGAUUUGUACCCUUUUGAUUACUCAUAAAUUAGAAAGGGGCAUACCUGGGAAUAUUUGUGUGUCGGAUGUUACACGGCAAUCAACAACAUGCACGGGCCCGCAGACCUACCGAAAGCGCCGGUGACCCACUUGAGCUUGGAUUUUUUGCUUCAGCUUGUGUGGUCAUGAUGCUGCCUGGUUGUAUAGGCUAUGAAUUCCACAAGACUUCCAACACAAUAUACACUUGCGUGGUUGUACAGCGCCACUCCGUCAUUUUCCUCGUACACAGGACUUCCAACAAGACUUGGGGUCCAGCAUUUAUAUUAACCACAAUUCAGCACUGAAACCUUUAUUUUUACCACCAGCACGGAAUUUUCCCAAAAUUUGUUGUUGUGUUGCGCCACCAGCCACGAGUCCUUGACCUAAAUCUAAAUCGUUUGUUCUAUGUACCAGCUGAAAAGCGAAAAUGGAAAUUAACAUUGGUACCGUGGAGAAUAGCUUAACUGAAGCAGUUACAGAUUACAUGAUCAAAUAAACAAAUAUACUAUCAAACCAACCACAGGAGAUACAAAAACCUCUACUGCAAUGUUAACUCAAAGUCCAUCAGCACAUAAGUCGUAGACGGAGGAGAUAUGACUAGGCGUAUGCCGCGUGUACCCUUCUAUCCCUUCCUUCAGUUGCUUUCUAGGAAUAAUUACAGUUUCAUUCUUCCACUGGCACGAGCAAAGAAAAGAGGAAUAGAUGGCGACACCAGAAAGCUCUCGUGUAGCUCAGGCUACAUGGAACCUCUUAUCCUCAACCCUCCAGCCUUGCUUUGAGAUCCGUACUCUCCAACUAACUUACAACAAGAAGAUUUCUCUUUUUUGUUUCUCUCAAAUGAAGCAACAUAUGAAUUUCAAAGGGAAAGAAAAAGGGGCAGAGAUGGCGACACAUUGAAGAAUAGUCAUCCAGCAGCAUCUUCCACUCAACUAUUGUGUGUUGAUUGAGGACCUCACAACAACGAAAGACACACUAGUUAAAUACACAUCAAUAGUUUGCGUAGAAUCACAUCCCCCAACCAAACACAGCAUGCAAACACUACGUAGAAAAAUGGCAUCUUGCUCAACACCACUGUUGUACCUCUGCUUACUGCUGGUGCCAUGCCUUCUUCUCUUGGAAGAAGCGCAUGCGGCACGCCAUGGAGGGAUCUUGCUGAGGUCUCAACGUAUGGCCCUCCUCCGCUGGAAAGCUACACUUGCAGGCCCACCGCUGCAGAUGAGCUCUUGGCAGGAAAACACCAGCCCGUGCAACUGGACAGGCAUCAUGUGCACGGCUGUUCGCCAUGGCCGCCGUGUACCCAGGGUGGUGACCAACAUCUCCCUGCCGGAUGCGGGCAUCCAUGGCAAAUUUGGUGAGCUCAACUUCUCGUCUCUUCCAUUCCUCUCAUAUAUUGACCUACGUAACAACAGCCUCCAUGGUGCACUGCCUACUAGUAUCAGCUCUCUGUUAGCACUUUCGGUACUUGGCCUUACCUACAACCAGCUUACAGGGAAAAUUCCUAAUGAGAUUGGUGGUCUACAAAGUCUCAUGCAGCUUGAGCUAUCAUUUAACAGAUUCACAGGACAUAUCCCUGCGUCUCUAGGCAACCUGACAAUGUUAACUUAUCUUGGCAUUCACCAAAACUUGGUAUCAGGUCCCAUUCCUGGGGAGAUUGGAAGGCUCGUCAACCUACAACUUCUACAACUAAGCAACAGUAGCUUAAGCGGCAUGAUACCAAAAACCCUUGGAAAUCUGACCAAACUAAAUACUUUGUACUUGUUUGGUAAUCAACUUUCAGGGCCUAUACCCCAAGAACUUGGCAAGCUAGUCCAUUUGCAAAGUCUUGAGCUCGAUUCAAAUGAUUUUUCAGGUCCAAUUCCAAUCUCCAUAACCAAUCUCACUAAGAUGAACACACUUUUUCUCUUUGAAAAUCAAAUCACAGGUUCAAUACCCCCAGAACUAGGCAACCUCUCUAUGUUAACCCAACUUGAUCUCUACACAAAUCAAAUAACAGGUUCGAUACCACCAGAACUAGGGAACCUCACUAUGCUAACUGAACUUUUUCUUUAUACAAAUCAAAUAACAGGUUCAAUACCCAGAGAACUAGGCAACCUCGCUAUGCUAAACAACCUUGAUCUCUCUACAAAUCAAAUCACAGGUUCAAUACCCAGAGAACUAGGGAACCUCACUAUGCUAACUGAACUUUUUCUUUAUACAAAUCAAAUAACAGGUUCAAUACCCAGAGAACUAGGCAACCUCGCUAUGCUAAACAGCCUUGCUCUCUCUAGAAAUCAAAUCACAGGUUCAAUACCCAGAGAACUAGGCAACCUCACUAUGCUAACUGAACUUUUUCUUUAUAAAAAUCAAAUAACAGGUUCAAUACCCAGAGAACUAGGCAACCUCGCUAUGCUAAACAACCUUGCUCUCUCUAGAAAUCAAAUCACAGGUUCAAUACCCAGAGAACUAGGCAACCUCGCUAUGCUAAACAACCUUGCUCUCUCUAGAAAUCAAAUCACAGGUUCAAUACCCAGAGAACUAGGCAACCUCACUAUGCUGAAUAAACUUUAUCUCUACAGCAAUAAAAUCACGGGUCCUAUACCUUUAGAAUUGGGCAUCCUGUUGAAUCUUCAAGAAUUAUACUUGUCUGACAACCAAAUAACCGGUUCCAUUCCCUAAGAGAUUGGUGAUCUGAUGAAGCUCCAAUAUUUAGGCUUGUAUCAGAACCAAAUUUCAGGGUCAAUACCAAAAACUUUUGGGAAGCUGCAAAGCAUCCAAAAACUUCAAACCUUUUAUAACAACUUAUCAGGUUCUCUUCCUCAAGAAUUUGGAGAUCUAAUAAACCUUGUUCAUCUUGCGUUGUCUAACAACUCACUCUCAGGACCUUUACCAGAAAAUAUAUGUUUAGGUGGCAGACUUCAAACUCUCAGUGUCUUUUCCAAUAUGUUCAAUGGCCCCAUUCCUAGGAGUUUAAAGACAUGUACCAGUUUGGUUCGAAUUGACCUUGAGUCGAAUCAACUAACAGGAGAUCUCUCUCGGGAUUUUGGUGGGUAUCCACAACUCAUAAAGAUGAGCUUAGCAUCGAACAGAUUCUUUGGGCAAAUCUCACCAAAUCUAGGUGGAUGUACCCAGCUAACAGUACUACAUGCAUCUAUCACAUAAUAUGAUCACGGGUUCCAUAUCUCCAAUACUUUCUAAAUUGUCCAACCUAGUAGUACAAAGAUUAGAUUCUAAUAGUCUUAGUGGUGAGAUUCCACCAGAAAUCUGGACUUUAGCUAAUCUAUAUCAACUAAACUUAUCAUCGAACCAAUUAUCUGGAUCCAUACCUACACAUAUAGAAAAGCUAAGCAAUCUAGGAUACCUUGGUAUGUCUAGAAACAGACUGGGUGGAUUAAUACCUGAGGAACUAGGGUCAUGCACAAAACUACAGUCAUUGAAGCUCAAAGACAACAACUUCAGUGGGAGUUUGCCACCCGCGAUUGGAAAUUUAGCAGGCCUGCAGAUCAUGCUAGAUUUGAGCAACAAUAACCUCAGUGGUGUGCUGCCGCAGCAACUUGGGAAGUUGGAGAUGCUGGAAUCUCUGAAUUUAUCACAUAAUCAGUUUGGUGGCAGCAUUCCAUCCUCCUUUGCAAGCAUGGUGAGCCUUUCAACGCUUGAUGUGUCCUACAAUGACUUGGAAGGAUCAGUCCCAACAACACGGCUACUCCAAAAUGCUUCAGCAAGUUGGUUUGUUCCCAAUAAAGGUAUGUGCGGCAACCUCUCUGGCCUGCCACCUUGUUAUUCAACACCAGUAGCUGGCCACCACAAGAAGAAGACACUUGGUUUGCUUUUGCCAAUUGUUCUUGUUGCGGGUCUCAGCAUUAUUGUUGCAAUUGUUGUCAUAAUAAUGCUCAGUCGUAACAAGAAAAAACCCCAAGAAAGUGUCACUAUUGAAGGAAGGGACCUAUUCUAUAUUUGGAAUUUUGAUGGAAGGUUAGCAUUUGAAGAUAUUGUAAGGGCAACAGAAGACUUCGAUGAUAAGUACAUCAUUGGAACAGGAGGAUAUGGCAAAGUGUACAAGGCACAACUCCAAGAUGGGCAGCUAGUUGCUGUGAAGAAGCUUCACCAGACCCAAGAAGAGUUGGAUGACGAAAGAAGAUUUCGUCGUGAAAUGGAAAUCUUAUCACAGAUCAGACAACGAAGCAUUGUCAAAAUGUAUGGAUUCUGUUCCCACCCAGCAUAUAAAUUUCUCAUCUAUGACUACAUUAAGCAGGGAAGCCUCCACAUGACAUUGGAAAAUGAAGAGCUAGCAAAGGAAUUAGAUUGGCAGAAGAGAAUUGCUCUGGCAACUGAUGUGGCUCAGGCAAUAUCUUAUUUGCACCACGAAUGCAGUCCACCAAUAAUCCAUAGAGAUAUCACAAGCAACAACAUCUUACUUGAUACAAUCUUCAAGGCUUUUGUCUCGGAUUUUGGCACUGCAAGGAUUCUUAAGCCCGAUUCAUCAAACUGGAGUGCACUAGCAGGAACAUAUGGCUACAUAGCUCCUGGUAUGUACUAGUAUAACCUUCCUUCUCAUAUCAGAAAUAUUCAUCUCUUAUCCAUUUGUUCAUGAUUCUAAUAUUUUGAUUUUGUGCAGAACUCUCGUACACAUCUGUUGUGACGGAAAAAUGUGAUGUAUAUAGCUUUGGUGUGGUUAUGCUAGAGCUAGUGAUGGGGAAGCAUCCAAGGGAUCUAUUAGACGGUAGUUUGUCAAGCGGGGAACACGCUAUGCUGGUAAAAGAUAUUCUAGACCAACGGCCGACAACACCAACAGCAACAGAAGAGAAUAGCUUAGCUCUGCUCAUCAAGCUGGCCUUUUCUUGCUUGGAAUCUUCUCCACAAGCAAGGGCAACCAUGCGGGAGGCAUACCAAACACUCAUCCAGCGACCCUCUUCUAGCUCCUGCCCCAUGCCUUUCAGCGCACUUACAUUACAGCAAGGGAGUGAUGCAUGUUGAUAUAUGAUCUGAAUUCUAGUGAGAAGCCAAGGUCUAUCAUUGUGGAAGCCGAUUUAGGUUUAUGUUUUGCCUCGAGUCACUCAUAUACCAUCUAUAUAUGUAAAAGUCUGUAAUCAUCUCAUGUCAUCUCGUAGAUUUUAUUUCUAGCAAAAACAAUAACCGGUCCAUGCAGCAUGAGCCUGAUCACGACAUGGCCAGAUCAGUAGUUGCAUGCUAUUAUGAUCGCCUCGUGGGAUGGCACGAGUACCGGCUGUAGCGGCUUAGAACUUGAGGCAUGAUCAAGGGACGUGGGAUGGCAUGUCCGUAAAGCUUGGUCAUGGUGCAAGAUUAGGAUCUUUAUGUUAGCUAGUUGAGCUAAUGAGCUGUUUAAAUAAAGAGGAGAACAAAGCAGAAAGGCUGCAAUGGUUUACACAGAGCAAAUAUCCUGAGUGUCCACUGAUUCUUUUCCCUCCCUGUGCCUCGGGAUGAGUUCAUGACUCAUUGUAAGUGGUCGAUGCUUAAACAAGAACAAAUAAAUAUAAACACACGAAGCUAGGUGCAUAAAAAAGGAAAAUUACCAUAGGACUAAGCAAAAGAACUUAUGCGGGGUUGUAGGGCAAGAGUAUGAAGUCCUUAUCCUUAUGAUGGAGCAUUGUAUCCAGGAGUAUGUAGUCCUCGUCCUUCAGAUGGAACAACAAAUAAUUUACUACUACACUAAAUUUCAAACAUUGAUUGGUGGCGAGAUUGAAAUGGAACAGAGAUACAACCUUACUUUUUAUUCAUGUCUAACAAAUGCUUAACAAAGGAUGAGAUGAUAUGAUAUGCAAAGUCCCAGAUGACAGACAACAGUGAGAGCUAAGCUACUGAAUCAUAGACAUGAAGAGUUUGGUAUGAAUAUAUCCCAUACUCUUUUUACCAGAAAAGUAGGUACCAGUUCACCUUAAAAUUCAAUACAACGAAUUUGUCCAUGCACAAACAAAGCACUGCAGGCAGUCCUAGUUCAUCCUCCUGCACAAGCAGAGGAAAGCAAGCACAGCAAAUUAGUCUACUGGUUGAGACACAAGCAUAGACGUUCACUGAAACUGAAAUGAAGCAGAGUAUGUGUUGUGGUAUGAUAAGACUGAGACAACGGUUAUUGCUCCGAAAGCUCAGGAUCAAAUCCAUCAUAUAGCACAUAUAUGGCGUUAAAGUGGUUUGGAUGUGUUCCCGUGAGUUGUUUUUGCUAGUAAUAUCAAGCUAGGAUAAGCUCAGUGUUGUUCACACCAACUAUUUGAUUCAGUAACUUUAAGGUGAUAAUACCUGGUGUUUGAGUCAUCUAAGAAUAGCCAACUACAAAUAAGUCCCUCCUCAUCAAUGUCAUCUGGGACAUUGUAGUUUCUACCAAGAGUUUCUUGUAUUUCACUGCUCACAUCCAUAACAUCCAUCGUCUCGUCUUGCAUGCUCUGCGGAUUAUGAAUGCAGGUACGGAUUCAGAUGUAAUUCAAACAAAAUAAGCUGAAGAUCUUGAAAAUAUGAACAGUUAUGCUCCAUACAUCUAUAUCUUCAAUCCUGACAGUCUUCAUCAUCCCUUUCAGCUCUGUAUUGGCAGCUUUCAUUGCAGUCAUCUGUUAAAUGAAAAACAAUUCAACAUAAGUUUGGGUGCCAGAAUAAGAAUCUAUCAUGAACUUGACAGGAAACUAAGGCAACAUACAGUGUGUUGAGCAUCUUUAAUUCUGUCUGAUGCGAAAGCAAGUUGGUCAAGAUUAUAGGUUUGGUUGGACAGGAUGUCACGUUGACCUUCAUACCUGUAGGGAAAGGAUGUGGAGUAUAAAUAUUUGAGCCCUAUGAGCUCGGCUGACACAGUGAUCGAAAGCUGCGCAACCAAAACAACUUGAAACCGCAUAGCCUACUGCCACAAGAGGAAUGAUUAAAUGAUACAGGGUAAUCAGCGCCCUUUAACCAAUAGCAUUCCCACGUCUGUCUUGUCCAUGACAAGAACAUGCUAGCAUUCGAAAUCAGCGGCUUCUAUAGCAAGUAACCUAAGGAGAUAAGAACAAAACCUUUUACAUGUAAGGAAAUUUUGAAACAACACAAAAAUGGUUUAUUAUUGUAAAGAAGGGGGAAAAAAUCUAAAGGUGUAUGAGAGCACAUCAACCAGAUUCGGGAUUCAGCUAUAUAUACCUUCUUGGACAACCUUUUAGAUGUUGACUUGUAACAUUGGUGGAUGGCAGCAUGGACCGGCGAGCGACCGCGAAGAGAGGAGAAGAAGACGUCGCUGCAGCGCGUUGUGGGCAUUUCAUCGAACAUGUGGUGUGCGGGAGCAGAUCUUCCGAAUCCUCGUCCUGCCACAGAAAUCGGUGCUCAAACUACCAAAAUCAGCAUCAAGCCAGUUUUGUUCAUCCGUGGCAUGGCAUCAAUCAACGGAAGUUGUAGGAUUUGGUAGAACGAGAGAGCACCUACUGACACCGAUAUGAGCNNNNNNNNNNNNNNNNNNNNNNNNNNNNNNNNNNNNNNNNNNNNNNNNNNNNNNNNNNNNNNNNNNNNNNNNNNNNNNNNNNNNNNNNNNNNNNNNNNNNNNNNNNNNNNNNNNNNNNNNNNNNNNNNNNNNNNNNNNNNNNNNNNNNNNNNNNNNNNNNNNNNNNNNNNNNNNNNNNNNNNNNNNNNNNNNNNNNNNNNNNNNNNNNNNNNNNNNNNNNNNNNNNNNNNNNNNNNNNNNNNNNNNNNNNNNNNNNNNNNNNNNNNNNNNNNNNNNNNNNNNNNNNNNNNNNNNNNNNNNNNNNNNNNNNNNNNNNNNNNNNNNNNNNNNNNNNNNNNNNNNNNNNNNNNNNNNNNNNNNNNNNNNNNNNNNNNNNNNNNNNNNNNNNNNNNNNNNNNNNNNNNNNNNNNNNNNNNNNNNNNNNNNNNNNGAAUGGCGGCGAGAAGAGGUGGCGGACGUGGUCGGUGGCGUUGCCGACGAGUGGACACCGCAGUCGCUCGACGGCGGGGACGGAGCUCGCGGCGGGGACACAUGCAGUACAAUUUGUUUGCAUAAAAUUUAAACAAAUCACACCACUCAAUUAAAUUUUUGUGACAUUUAAAAAUGUUCGCACGUUCAAAAAAAUACGUUAAUGAAAAAUUGGAAAACAAGUUUUUCCAUGCUCAACAUGUAUCAAAAAAAUAUUCGUAUGUAUAUGGAAAAUGUACAACAUGUAUUGAAAAAAAAAAACUUCAGUGUGUAUUUAAAAAAAUAUUCAUCUUGUAUUUAAAAAAUUAUCGAGGUGCAUCAAAAAAAUGUUAAACAUGUACUUGAAAAAUGGUUAACAUGUUCAAAGACGUAUUUUACAAAAUGUCCAUCAUGCAUUUGAAAAAUAUUCAGUGUGUAUAAAAAAGUAGAACCUGUACUAGAAAAAUUCUGUCAUGUAUUUGAAAAAAAUAAAAUGAAAACUGAACGGAAAAGCAAAAGAACCAUACGACACCCGCGAAGGAAAACUUAGUAAAAGACAAAAGAGAAAACUACAUGGAACCUUCCAAAAACCGGUGAAAGGUUCCACGAGCUGGUGUAGAAACUUCACAACACCGCACGUGUACAUGUUAAUUGGACCGGCUCGACCUACUGCUCACCUACUGUGUUAGGUAUUGCAGUAGGCGAGAUAUUGGUCUGGCGCUCCUAUUCAUCGCUUUUAGCGAGCGCUAGGGUACGAGUCCCUCGCCGGUCACCCCUAAAUAGGUCUGACCCGUCAGCGGGAGCAAGCACCUGCGAGCGAGCGCUGUGGCACCAGCGAGCCACGUUGGCCGUUUUUGUUUUGUCCAAAAAUUGCAAUUUUUUAUUGUUUGCAAAUUCAAAAUUCUGAACAUUUUUGGAAACGAUAAAUCCUUCAAGAAAUUUUGAAUAUUUUCUAAAAAGUGAACUCUUUCGAAACACGAACAAAUGUUGAAACACAAAAAAUAUAUCCAAAGCAAAAAACAAUAGAAAUUAUAAAAACUUUUAAAUUACUUUUUAAAAUGCACAAUUAAAAAUUAAUAUGUAUUAUUAUGAACAUUUAUUUAUAUAAGAUGAAUAUUUUUAAUAUAUGGUGAACAACUUUACAAAAUACAUGCUGAAGAAUUAUUGAAUAUGCAAUGAACAUUUUAUUUGUGUACAAUGAACUUUUCUUAAUAUACGGUGAAUAAUUUGUAACUACAUUGAUCAUUUUAUGUUUUGCGGUUAACAAUAUUUGAAAAUCGCAAACAAUUUUUGAUGUCUUGAACAAAUUUUGAGAAAUGUGAAAACUUUUCGAAAAUUUCUUGAAAUUGUGAUCAAAAUUUGAAAUUCCGAACAUAUUUUGGUAAAACAAAAAAAUAUUUCAAAAACUUUUUUUUCAUAAAAACAUGAACAAUCUCGAAAUUCUGAACAUUUACUGAAAAUGUUGAAAUUAAAAAUAAAACAAAUUAACCAUAAAAGGUAAAAAACCUGGAAGGAAAAAAUAAAAAAAAAUAAAACUAUUAUUUUUGUGUCAUGUAUUUAAAAAGGAAAAGGUAAAAGAGGAGAAAGGAAAACGAAAAAAAAAAGAAACCAAAGAAGGAAAAGAAAAGGCAGAAAUAGAAACCUGGUACAAAAAACAAGCAGAAAACACAGAGAAGAAAAAACAUCUGAACUUCCCAAAACCGUUGGGAACGCUUCCGCUCAAUGGACUGGCCCGCUGGACGCGCCUGUAGGCGAUUGACGUCGCAACACUCGCAAAGAACGACAUAUAUCAUUUGUGAUAUAGCUCUCGCGCUUGGUGAAGGCAAUUCCAGUCAACUGUGUGUGCGUGCCAAGCUUUUUGCGAUUUGGUGCCCAUGAUGGACCUCACAAUUACGAUGGGCUCAAGUAUUCCACACCACACAAAAUGAUGGCCCGAAAACGGCCCAAGGUCUAGACUGGAGAGCUGAAACGGCCCAAAGAAACAGAUGUAGGAUGAGUAAAAAAAAAGACCUAUUAAACGGGUCGCCCGUGCCUUGUUAAUGAUUGCCUGGAAGCCCUUCACGCCAGGCAUGGGCCCAAAGUUAUUACAACGGAUCCUUAAAGUUUUUUACAGCGGAAAGCAUGCCCUUGUAUCUCAUGCUAGAACUCCACGCAUCGCCCUGUUACCGGCACAAUUCUCGAGGGACGUGUCGCUGUUUUGCCCUCCACAUAUGCCUUCAUAAGACCAUAGUAGAAAUUGUAUGUUGUGCAACUUCUUCCCUUGAUUCCUCCGCAACUCAUCCAUCGUCGUCGACAGGGAAGCACAGAUCUAGAGUCACACACGACCGUGAUGGCAAGCAGGAGUGACGCAACCGUUGACCUUGAGGGCCGGAACGCCACAACAGAAGAUACUAUGAUUUGACAUUCUUUCUUGCUCCGCUAGAAUGGCUGCAAAGUCCAAAGUCCCUGGGAGCUGGUUAGUCUCCAUGACUUCUUUCGACCACCUACAAGAUAUGGUCGCUCCAAGUUUUCUGCCUGACUGGCGCGUCCUCCUUUGGCUCCAUGUAUUUCUACACGUAAAGAAACACAUGGAAUUACCCCUCAAAAAACACAUGGAAUUUUCCUUAAUCACAACUAUUAGUAUAUUAAUCUUUUUAUAAUAAACACAAUUAAACUUCAAAAUGGAUAGAUAUGUUCUCACUGAUGUUUGUCUCUGAAAUUGGAGAUGUUCUAUUCGCAAUAUAUUAGCAAAUCUUUGGAAGCAUUUGGGCUUGGUGUUGUCGUUGUGAGAUCGGUGUUGUCGUUGUGAGAUCGUGAGGAUCAUCUUGGUGUCGUGGCCCUAGAUUGUAAUCAAUGAAUGGCGAAUGAUGAAAUUUGUGAGUCAUUCCAACAAAUGGGUUUUGUCAACGGAGUACAUAUAGUAUAUUUUUGUAGCCAGGCCAGCCAAUGAUCCCAUGUCUAUAGGUGUUGUAAUAUUAAAAUUAGCCCAAUUUCCCUGCAAUUAACAUGGAAACUCUCUUUAACUUAACUGGUAUAUGGAUUAAAUGGAGGAAGUGUCAAUCAAGUCCAUUAAGAAAAAAAUUGAUGAAAAAUCUAUCUAUAUUCAUAUCCAAACAAUCAUUAGACGUAAAUCAGCUCCACACUUAAGGAACAUUGGCACAACGCCUAUUUUUUCAUAUAAGAAAAUAUAGAUCAUGAGGGCAUGUAUAAUGGUUGAUAAGAUUGUCUUAUUUGUCCCCCAUGUAAUCUAAAGAAGACAACAAAAAAUGAUGUACAAUGUAUUACUCUUAGUCUUAUCUCUAAUAACAAGAUAUUCCUAAUUAUGUGGUGAGAGAAUUGUUGCUAAGAGAUCAUCUCUUAAUGAAGAGAAGGCAAGUCUUUUCUUAUGGUUUCUCUCUCCUCCACCUCUACAAUUAUCCUAUGUGGCACUUCUAAGCUAAGACCAUUGUAUAUGCCCUCAUACAUCCAUUCUUUGGAUGUAAUUAAAUCAAGUCCAUUUUUAAUGAUUAUUGGCAUAAAUUGAUCUAUAUUCAUAUAAAAAGAUAGGCCAUCAAGCAAUCAUUAAUUGGAUGUAAACCAAGUCCAUAUUUAAUGAACAUUAAUUAAACAAUUGAUUUAUACCCACCUCUAGAAAGAUUAUUUCACCGGAUGACUACCCAUUAAAUGUUCAAUGCAUGAUCAGUACAAUGCAAUCUAAAACUUUCUAAAGAAAGAACCUGGCUCAAUUCUAUAUAAGUUGUGUUCUAUAAAGAAGAUACAAGUACGUCAGGAAUCACAUAGUUACUAUUUCAUUGAAAAUAGCACAAUUACCUAUACAAAUGGGAGGUGAUUAUGUUGUCAUAUCGGUCUUACUAUGCUUUUUGUGUAUAACUUUCCACCUCACCUUUGUUGAAUCGAUAGACGUAGAUGUCAAUCUCCAGACGAAUGAGAAGGUAACCAAUAUUUUACUUUUAGAUUUUGAUAUAUACAACUUCUUAUCAAUUGGUUUAUGUAUUAUCCCAUUGUUGUAUCUACUUGACCACUUAAUCUUGAUAAUUAUUAUUGGUGUUUAUCAUUCAUAACUACUUUAUGUUACUUAUAUGCCCAACUAAAAUGUAGGACACACAUGUGAAAUGAAUACUUAUCUUUCAAAGACUUUGUACAUCAAUUAUAUAUGCUAACUACUCAUGAACUAUUAUUUCCCUCUGCAGAACACCACUCUUUUAAGACCUAAGCAUUUCCAUUUUCCUUGGAGAGCUAAUAUCAUGGAUGAAGGAAGCGGCAUUAUUUCCCAUGUACACACACUCUCCCCCAUUCUCUGUAUAUAUCUCUCUUUACCUUUUCAUGUGUUAGAUUUGGGAUGUUUUGUUGAUUUGUUGGUGAGUGUUGAUCACAAGAGGCAAAGCCAAAGUAUUUUCAAUAUAAGCAUCACAUAUUUAAACCACGGAGAAAAAAAGUAGCAAUCUACAUUCAUUAAUGAUGUACCUAAAUCAUAGUUGGUCAAGCUAAAUUCUGGUCAAUGGCCCAAGAGACAUGGUCGUACAUAAAGACCAAAUAAAAGACAUAGACCUAAAUGAACUAAGCUUGAUGCCCUAUAUACCGCGAAAGCUAGGAUCAUUACAUAUAAAGCAUGCUACCAAAAUAACGUGAACAACAGAUUCAGAAAGGCAUUUAAGACAUACUCUAUAUAGGAGACUUAUGCUGACAUACCAACUUUAUUGGCAAUACACUUCACACCUAUCAGAGAGAGAAUCAAAUCUUGUUUCACCCAUGCCACAAGGAGGAUAGAAGAUGUUGUUAGCCCAAGAACCUAAGUAAGACCAUCGAAAAUGCACAUGAACUAAAGCUUUGCAUGCAUCACCACAAAGGGUCUAAUAGCAUUGGAUUGACACCACACCCCGUGGAGUAAGCUAAAUCCAGUAUGAUAUACUCAACAAGGCCUAUGAAAACAAAUCUAGACUAACUCCAAGAUAGCAUGAAAGAUUCCCCAUUGUAAAUGUCUGGUAGGUGAACCUCAUACCAAGGCCAAGAACGCACACCCUCACUUGUUUAUUAUGUCGUUCGCUAUAGAUUUUUCCGGUUAUUUACUAAUUUGCUAUAAUUUUCUAUCACUAGUAUGCAAUGUGGCACACAGAGCCAGGACAAUUCUACGGCCUUCGAGCUGACAUGAGUAUAUGGGCUUCACCAAAUCAAGGAACUUCUCAAGAAUCUGGAGCAUCCUUACAGAUCUAUUGUCAAGAUGGAGGAAACUACAACUUAAUUCAAGUUGGAUUUCAUGUACAAACAUAUCACCCAUUAUGGUAAAGUCAAAUUCUUUUGAAUAAACAACUAUUUCAUAAUUUGCUUCUACUUGCAGAUUUCCCCCUCUUUAUACCAUAACAGAGAUAUUCGCUUCUUUACAUAUUGGACCGUAAGUAUAAUCAAUGCCAUUUUAACAAGUUAUAUAUUAUUGUGGUCCCCAUAUAGUUUUAUGGUAUUUCGUAGGAGUUAGAGGCACUAUUGGACUAAGUAAAGGUCUCUUUACAUCCACAAUAAUACAUGUUUCCUCUUUUUUUGUUGCUCAGAAGGACUUGAAACCGAAGGGGUGCUACAACUUGCAGUGCUCAGGAUUUGUUUCUGCAAGUCGAGCUAAUCUGGUGCCUGGACAAGCCAUGGCUCCUCCAUCAAUUUAUGGCAAACAAGACCACUACGUUAGGCUUAGCCUCAACAAGGUGCACCAUUUGUCCCAUUCUAGAGAUUACUAUAUCGAUAUAAAUUCACAAAUGUGCUCCUAUUUUUUCUAUAACUAGAUGAAACAUGCACGUUCCUGCAGUAACCCCAUUGAAUGAAACAUGUAAAUAGAUGCUAUAAGAGCAACUACAAAAGAGAAAAGGUAGGAUUGUGGUUAACAGAAUGUCAUUUUUCUAUCAAAAAUGUGAAACAUGAACUACAUAAGUAUCCUCAGAGUGUCCAACACAUGAUCCAUUCACGACAACAAAAAAUAAACGCAAAAACAGUAAUUUAUGAGGGGCAUGCAUGACUUGCUGGCGUGUAGGACUGCAUGGAUAGGAAAAACAAGCACAUAUGAAAAAUAUAACUUAUACGAACAUGCAUGACUUGUUGAUGUGGUAUGGCUGCACACAUAGAAAGAAAAGUAAACGUAUAACUAACAUGUAUGACUUGUUGACGUGGCAUGGCUGCUUGAAUAGGAAAAAUAGGUAGUGUAUUGCAACUAUUUAAGAAUAGAGGAUUAAAAUUAACAAAGAUAGAUUUUAUGAAUGUUAAAAUUAGUUAGGCAUAAAUUCACAUGGUUACUAAGUAACAUGCUUUCUAUUUUAUUAAGAAAAUAUGGAACAUUGGAAUCUAGGAAAUUGUACGCCACCCAAGAUUCUUGCUAAUAACAACAUGUUUUCUGGAGUACUCUGCUUGUGCAUGAAAUUUAUUGUUCAUGGAUGUCAUCAAUCCCUUGUUGACUACAGGAUCCAAAUUCCGGAGAUUGGGUGGUGUACCGUCAUGAUUUACAGAAACCAUCAUUCUUGGGACAUUUUCCAAAUAAGCUUUGCCCCGGAACACCACGUAUACAAGCCUUGACUGGAUUCGUGAAUUACUUGAAGAAUGCACAUGGUCCUCCAAUGGGUAGCGGCCACUUCCCCGAUUAUGACGAUAAGAGAUCUGCGUACUUCAAGCACAUUCAGAACUACAAUCCAAAUGGUCAUUCUUCCGACCUCUUUGGCAUUCCCAUGAUCAAGUUAGUUGAUAGGCCAGAUUGUUAUGGAGCGAAUAAUUUAUUUCUUGAAUAUAAGAAGGGUUAUAUGUUCAACUAUUGUGGACCAAGUGGUUGUGUUGGUUGACAACAAAAGUUGUAUUGCCAUUUGGAUUCAAUAAACAAAAAAUAUGUUACUUAAUGGUCAAAGACUAUCACUUAAGCCAUUCCCAACACGUGCGGUUGUGACGGGGAGCUAGGUAAUUCAUGUUUAAGUAAUGGAAAUUGAUUAUAUUCAAACGACUGAUUACUUGCGGGUGUAAACCUCCUCCGACGCCCGCCACGCGUCCCUAUGGACCUACUCAACGUUUAUCCAUCUGCCACCCUUAUCUCUUCUUCUACGCGCCCGAACCACUCUUUUUUUUUNNNNNNNNNNNNNNNNNNNNNNNNNNNNNNNNNNNNNNNNNNNNNNNNNNNNNNNNNNNNNNNNNNNNNNNNNNNNNNNNNNNNNNNNNNNNNNNNNNNNCUUAUCCAACUAAUCAUUUGGUUUGUUGUGUUUGGUGCAACUACUUACUAGCGAGAUUUUGGAUUUUCUUGAUAGUUGCUUUUUGCUGAAAUCAUCUGGUUGUAAGGAAUGUUGGAUAACGACCAAUGACUCAUCUUCUUCACUUUACACUGCAAACAUUGAUCUAGAUUAUGUCCCUUUUUGAAAUUUAGUUUGUGAAGCUCUACAUGUUGUUAGGCUUAUCCAUAUUGGCAUGGCUUGAGUGGAACUAAGUUUGUAAGCUUGUGUGCGUCAUUAUGAUGGAUCACACUAUUAAUGUGAUGAUUGUUCUAGAAAUUAUCUUUCCAAAACUGACUUUAUGUUUUUUUGCCCAAUAUGAUUCUAAGUUGGAUAACUAGACAUGACUCAUCAAAUAACAAGAUAAACCGAGUAGCAAGUUGGGGGUUAUAAGUUAUAACAUGGACUUUUCUCUAAGAUACACCAUCUUGUCUUGCAUGCUAUGUGGAUUUCAAAAGCAUCUACUAAUUUAGAUGCAAUUGAAACAAAAGUAGACCGGAAAGAUAAGCAAUGAAAUGAGAAUACUAUUAUGUGAAGCUCUACAUGUCUGGUAAGCAGUAAGAUACUGGAUACAUCUAUAUCUUCAAUCCUGACAGUUUUUCUCAUCCCCAUCAACUCUUUAUUGGCUGCCUUUACUGUAGUCAUCCCUUAAAUAAAAAUCACUUAAAGAUAAGUUUGGGAGCUAGUACCAGCAUCUAUCAUGUACAAGAUAGAAAACUAAGGCACAUAUAGUAGUCUAUCGACCAUAUUUAAUUUCUUGUGAUGUGAAAGCAUGUGGAGUAUAAGCUCGUUAAAUAUAAAGUUGUCCUUCAUACCAGUAAGGAAAGAAUAUGCAGUAUAAAGAUUAGAGCAUUGGAUUAAUAUGCUAUUAAAUGCUACAGGAUAAUCGACAGUUCAAGUUAAGAACAACAAUAGCAUUCCAACUUUUGUCUUAUGCAAGUUAAGAACAUGCUAACAAAGUAACCUAAGCAAAUAAGUGCCAAACCUUCACCUAUAAGGAAGUUUUGAAACUACACAAAAUGACCUAUUUUAACGAAGGAAAAAAUCUAAAGGUGAAUGAAAGCACGUUAAGUACAUUCAGGAUUCGGUUAUGCCUUCGUGGAUAACCUUUUAGAUGGUGACUUGUCAACCUUGAUGUGUGUCGGCAUGGAACGAGGACAAGAAGACGUCGUUGUGUCGUACUUUGGGAAUUUCAUCAAACUGGUUGUGCGCGGGAACAAAUAUUUGUCGCCUCCCUACUCAAAUCUCUCUUCAUGUCACUGAAUCCGACACUCCACCUACCAAAUCUGCUGCAAGCCAGGGACAAUCAACAGGUUUCUCCGCCCGUAGCAUCUAUCACCAAAAGAAGUUCAGACUAUAGUCUUGUAGUUCAAAAUUUUGUAAUAACAAGCACUACUAGGUUGCUUUUGUUUGUACGUCUUCAUUCUAUACAACCCAUGGAACUAAAAAUGCAUUGGUCAUUCUUCGGUAUAUACAACCAAUGCAACCAAAAAUGCAUUGGGCUUUUCUUUGUACAUCUUCAGGUUCUACAACCAAUGCAACAAAAAAUCCAUUGGGCAGUCUUCCAUUCUAGUCGGGCACCAAUAGUUAAACGAGGAGCUAAACAGUGUUGGAGUCUAAAACUACAUACAAUCAUGAAGCAGAGAGAUGCGACUUGGAAGCUGUGCUCCUGUGAGCUCGUAUUUUUUGAAGAAAAAAGUAAUAUUUGAAUUUUGAAGUGGAAAAAAUCCUAAAAAGGGAUGUUUUGCGGGUUAUAACUUACUAUUUUUGAGUCCUGGGCUGCAGGAAGGUCGUCAAAAAUCAAUGUGUUUUCCCAUUCAUGCAUGUUUCUUGGGUUAUAGGUCACGCUUUUGGUGUCCUAAGGAGAUCACUUCCCUAGUCAGGAACAUUAGGUGAUGAUUUUUAGCAAAACUCAUUGUUUUAGCCUAACUAGUUUCGAGGAUUGGUGGACGAGAUUAUCAUGGAACAAAGUGACAACCUUCCUUUUCUUCAUGCCUAAUAUAAACUUAGCAGUCAGCUAAAAGUAACUAGCGAUAUCAUCGAAUGUUUUUUGUCAAAAGUAGAUACCACUUCAGGAUUCAACUCGGUUAGUUCAAUCACAGACAUGUUAAGAGCAGGAUUUACAACUAACUGCAUAGGCAACAUCUCCUUUUAUCGCCCACUAUAUGUCUUUGCACUUUGGUUUUCCCGUAGCAGCAAACAAAGCACUUUGUUAGUACCAAUAAUGUGCGCCAACUCUACACAUUAAUCAUCUUGAAUUCUUCUACUGAUGUUGAACAAUGUUAUAUCUUGAAUUCUUCUAACGAGUUCGGAUUAGACUACAUGGGCAAUUUAUGUGGUCCCUGAGAUGCAAGGUCGAUGAACAAUCGCUUCGUCUUAUGACGAGGGAUUGUUUUUGCCUAAGAAACCAAUACAUGUAACUUCGACACCAGAUUAAUAAUUGGUAAAACCCAAAUAAAUUAGAUCACGAGCUAAACCAUUUACUUUUGUAUGCAUUUAAACUGUUGAUACAUAUGAGCUUGUUAAGAUGUUCGCAUAAACACCAUGGUGAUUUGAAGCAAGACAAAGUAAACUUGAACCGCUUGAGCCAUUGACUUAAUAAGAACCUCCUUUCCCGUGGCAGAGAUUGUUUUUAAUACAUCCACUCACUUUGGUUCUCUUGUGAAAUCUGAUUCCUUCACCAAGGCUAUUGCUCCAGUAUUGUCACAAAAGAUUUUUAUUGGACCCGAUGCACUAGUUAUGACACCUAGAUCAUAUAUGAACUCCUUCAUCCCGACUCCUUCAUUUGCUGCUUCCGAAGCAGCUAUGUACUCCUCUUCACACGUAGAUCCCUCCACGAUGCUUUGCUUGGAACUGGACCAACUGACAGGUCCACCAUUCAAUAUAAAUACAUAUCCGGUUUGUGACUUAGAGUCAUCCGGAUCAGUGUCAAAGCUUGCAUCGACGUAACUAUUUACGACGAGCUCUUUGUCACCUCCAUAAACGAGAAACAUAUCCUUAGUCCUUUUCAGGUAUUUCAGGAUGUUCUUGACUGCUGUCUGGUGAUCCACUCCUGGAUUACUUUGGUACCUCCCUGCUAAACUAAUAGCAAGGCACAUAUCAGGUCUGGUACACAGCAUUGCAUACAUGAUAGAACCUAUGGCUGAAGCAUAGGGAAUGACUUUCAUUUUCUCUCUAUCUUCUACAGUGGUCGGGCAUUGAGUCUGACUCAACUUCACACCUUGUAACACAGGCAAGAACCCUUUCUUUGCUUGAUCCAUUUUGAACUUCUUCAAAACUUUAUCAAGGUAUGUGCUUUGUGAAAGUCCAAUUAACUGUCUUGAUCUAUCUCUAUAGUUCUUGAUGCCCAAUAUAUAAGCAGCUUCACCGAGGUCUUUCAUUGAAAAAUUCUUAUUCAAGUAUCCUUUUAUGCUAUCCAGAAAUUCCGUAUCAUUUCCGAUCAACAAUAUGUCAUCCACAUAUAAUAUCAGAAAUGCUACAGAGCUCCCACUCACUUUUUUGUAAAUACAGGCUUCUCCAAAAGUCUGUAUAAAACCAUAUGCUUUGAUCACACUAUCAAAGCGUAUAUUCCAACUCCGAGAGGCUUGCACCAGUCCAUAAAUUGAUCGCUGGGGCUUGCACACUUUGUUAGCACCUUUUGGAUCGACAAAACCUUCUGGUUGCAUCAUAUACAACUCUUCUUUAAGAUAUCCAUUAAGAAAUGCAGUUUUGACAUCCAUUCGCCAAAUCUCAUAAUCAUAAAAUGCGGCAAUUGCUAACAUGAUUCGGAAAGACUUAAGCAUCGCUACGGGUGAGAAGGUCUCAUCAUAGUCAACUCCGUGAAUUUGUCGAAAACCUUUCGCAACAAGUUGAGCUUUGUAGACAGUAACAUUACCGUCAGCGUCAGUCUUCUUCUUGAAGAUCCAUUUAUUCUCUAUGGCUUGCCGAUCAUCGGGAAAGUCAACCAAAUCCACACUUUGUUCUCAUACAUUGAUCCCAUCUCAGAUUUUAUGGCCUCAAGCCAUUUUGAGAAAUCUGGGCUCAUCAUUGCUUCCUCAUAGUUCGUAGGUUCGUCAUGGUCGAGUAACAUGACCUCCAGAACAGGAUUACCGUACCACUCUGGUGCGGAUCUUACUCUGGUUGACCUACGAGGUUCAGCGGUAACUUGAUCUGAAGUUUCAUGAUCAUCAUCAUUAGCUUCCUCACUAAUUGGUGUAGGAAUCAUUGGAACUGAUUUCUGUGAUGAACUACUUUCCAAUUUGGGAGCAGGUACAAUUACCUCAUCAAGUUCUACUUUCCUCCCACUCACUUCUUUCGAGAGAAAGUCCUUCUCUAGAAAGGAUCCUUUCUUAGCAACGAAUAUCUUGCCUUCGGAUCUGUGAUAGAAGGUGUGCCCAACAGUCUCCUUUGGGUAUCCUAUGAAGACACAUUUCUCCGAUUUGGGUUCGAGCUUAUCAGGUUGAAGCUUUUUCACAUAAGCAUCGCAGCCCCAAACUUUAAGAAACGACAACUUGGGUUUCUUGCCAAACCACAGUUCAUAUGGUAUCAUCUCAAUGGAUUUAGAUGGUGCCCUAUUUAACGUGAAUGCAGCCGUCUCUAAAGCAUAACCCCAAAAAGAUAGCGGUAAAUCAGUAAGAGACAUCAUAGAUCGCACCAUAUCUAAUAAAGUGCGGUUACGAUGUUCGGACACACCAUUAUGCUGUGGUGUUCCGGGUGGCGUGAGUUGCGAAACUAUUCCGCAUUGUUUCAAAUGAAGACCAAACUCGUAACUCAAAUAUUCACCUCCAUGAUCAAAUCGUACAAACUUUAUUUUCUUGUUACGAUGUUUUUCCAAUUCACUCUGAAAUUCUUUGAAUUUUUCAAAUGUUUCAAACUUAUGUUUCAUCAAGUAGAUAUACCCUGCUCAAAUCAUCUGUGAAGGUCAGAAAAUAACGAUACCCGCCGCGAGCCUCAACACUCAUCGGACCGCAUACAUCAGUAUGUAUUAUUUCCAACAAGUCUGUUACUCGCUCCAUUAUUCCAGAGAACGGAGUCUUAGUCAUCUUGCCCAUGAGGCAUGGUUCGCAAGCAUCAAGUGAUUCCAAAAGUCCAUCAUGAUGGAGUUUCUUCAUGCGCUUUACACCAAUAUGACCUAAACGGCAGUGCCACAAUAAGUUGCACUAUCAUUAUUAACCUUGCAUCUUUUGGCUUCAAUAUUAUGAAUAUGUGUGUCACUACUAUCGAGAUUCAACAAAAAUAGACCACUCAUUAAGGGUGCAUGACCAUAAAAGAUAUUACUCAUAUAAAUAGAACAACCAUUAUUCUCUGAUUUAGAUGAAUAACCGCCUCGCAUCAAACAAGAUCCAGAUAUAAUGUUCAUGCUUAACGCUGGCACCAAAUAACAAUUAUUCAGGUCUAAAACUAAUCCCAACGGUAGAUGUAGAGGUAGCGUGCCGACGGCGAUCACAUCGACUUUGGAACCAUUUCCCACGCGCAUCGUCACCUCGUCCUUAGCCAAUCUUCGCUUAAUCCGUAGCCCCUGUUUCGAGUUGCAAAUAUGAGCAACAGAACCAGUAUCAAAUACCCAGGCGCUACUACGAGCAUUAAUAAGGUACACAUCAAUAACAUGUAUAUCAAAUAUACCUUUCACUUUGCCAUCCUUCUUAUCCGCCAAAUACUUGGGGCAGUUCCGCUUCCAGUGACCAGUCCCUUUGUAGUAGAAGCACUCAGUCUCAGGCUUAGGUCCAGACUUGGGCUUCUUCACUUGAACAACAACUUGCUUGUCGUUCUUCUUGAAGUCCCCUUCUUCCCUUUGCCCUUUUUCUUGAAACUAGUGGUCUUGUUAACCAUCAACACUUGAUGCUCCUUCUUGAUUUCUACCUCUACAGCCUUUAGCAUUGCGAAGAGCUCGGGAAUUGUCUUAUCCAUCCCUUGCAUAUUAUAGUUCAUCAUGAAGCUUUUGUAGCUUGGUGGCAGUGAUUGAAGAACUCUGUCAAUGACACUAUCAUCAGGAAGAUUAACUCCCAGUUGAGUCAAGUGGUUGUGGUACCCAGACAUUCUGAGUAUAUGUUCACUGGUAGAACUAUUCUCCUCCAUCUUGCAGCUGUAGAACUUAUUGGAGACUUCAUAUCUCUCAAUCCGGGCAUUUGCUUGAAAUAUUAACUUCAACUCCUGGAACAUCUCAUAUGCUCCAUGACGUUCAAAACGUCGUUGAAGUCCCGAUUCUAAGCUGUAAAGCAUGGCACACUGAACUAUCGAGUAGUCAUCGGCUUUGCUUUGCCAGACGUUCAUAACGUCCGGUGUUGCUCCUGCAGCGGGUCUUGCACCUAGCGGUGCUUCCAGGACGUAAUUCUUCUGUGUGACAAUGAGGAUAAUCCUCAAGUUACGGACCCAGUCCGUGUAGUUCCUACCAUCAUCUUUCAAGUUAGCUUUCUCUAGGAACGCAUUAAAAUUCAAAGGAACAGUAGCACGGCCAUUGAUCUACAACAACAUAGACAUGCAAAAUACUAUCAGGUACUAAGUUCAUGAUAAAUUAAAGUUCAAUUAAUCAUAUUAAUUAAGAACUCCCACUUAGAUAGACAUCCCUCUAGUCAUCUAAAUGAUCACGUGAUCCAUAUCAACUAAACCAUGUCUGAUCAUCACGUGAGAUGGAGUAGUUUCAAUGGUGAACAUCACUAUGUUGAUCAUAUCUACUAUAUGAUUCACGCUCGACCUUUCGGUCUCAGUGUUCCGAGGCCAUAUCUGCAUAUGCUAGGCUCUUCAAGUUUAACCCAAGUAUUCUGCGUGUGCAAAACUGGCUUGCACCCGUUGUAUGUGAACGUAGAGCUUAUCACACCCGAUCAUCACGUGGUGUCUCGGCACGACGAACUGUAGCAACGGUGCAUACUCAGGGAGAACACUUGUACCUUGAAAUUUAGUGAGAGAUCAUCUUAUAAUGCUACCGCCGUACUAAGCAAAAUAAGAUGCAUAAAGGAUAAACAUCACAUGCAAUCAAAAUAAGUGAUAUGAUAUGGCCAUCAUCAUCUUGUGCCUUUGAUAUCCAUCUCCAAAGCACCGUUAUGAUCACCAUCGUCACCGGCUUGACACCUUGAUCUCCAUCGUAGCAUCAUUGUCAUCUCGCCAACUAUUAUUUCUACGACUAUCGCUACCGCUUAGUGAUAAAGUAAAGCAAUUAGAUGGCGAUUGCAUUUCAUACAAUAAAGCGACAACCAUAAGGCUCCUGCCAGUUGCCGAUAACUUUUACAAAACAUGAUCAUCUCAUACAACAAUUUAUAUAUCAUCACGUCUUGACCAUAUCACAUCACAGCAAGCCCUGCAAAAACAAGUUAGACGUCCUCUACUUUGUUGUUGCAAGUUUUACGUGGCUGCUACGGGCUUCUAGCAAGAACCGUUCUUACCUACGCAUCAAAACCACAACGAUUUUUCGUCAAGUGUGUUGUUUUAACCUUCAACAAGGACCGGGCAUAGUCAAACUCGAUUCAACUAAAGUUGGAGAAACAGACACCCACUAGCCACAUGUGUGUGAAGCACGUCGGUAGAACCAGUCUCAUGAACGCGGUCAUGUAAUGUCGGUCUGAGCCGCUGCAUCCAACAAUACCGCCGAAUCAAAGUAAGACGUUGUUGGUAAGUAGUAUGACUAUUAUCGUCCACAACUCAUUGUGUUCUACUCGUGCAUAUAACAUCUACACAUAGACCUGGCUCGGAUGCCACUGUUGGGGAACGUCGUAUUUCAAAAAAAAUCCUACGAUCACGCAAGAUCUAUCUAGGAGAAGCAUAGCAACGAGCGGGGAGAGUGUGUCCACGUACCCUCGUACACUGAAAGCGGAAGCGUUUAGUAACGUGGUUGAUGUAGUCGAACGUAUUCGCGAUCCAACCGAUCCAAGCACCGAACGUACGCACCUCCGCGUUCAGCACACGUUCAGCUCGAUGACGUCCCUCGAGCUCUUGAUCCAGUUGAGGCCGAGGGAUAGUUCCGUCAGCACGAUGGCGUGGCGACGGUGAUGAUGAAGUUACCGGCACAGGGCUUCGCCUAAGCACUACGACGAUAUGACCGAGGUGUGUAACUGUGGAGGGGGGGCACUGCACACGGCUAAGAGAAACUUGUGUGUCUUUGGGGUGCCCCCCUCCCACGUAUAUAAAGGGGGAGGAGGAGGAGGCCGGCCCAAGGGGGGCGCGCCACAUGUGGGGAGUCCUAUCUUCUCUCCCAUGGCCCAUAAGGCCCAUGACUUCCCCCGGGGGGUUCCGGUAACCUCCCGGUACUCCGGAAAAAUGCCUGAAUCACUCGGAACCAUUCCGAUGUCCGAAUGCAACCUUCCAAUAUAUGAAUCUUUACCUCUCGACCAUUUCGAGACUCCUCGUCAUGUCUGUGAUCUCAUUCGGGACUCCAAACAAACUUCGGUCAUCAAAUCACAUAACUCAUAAUACAAAUCGUCAUCGAACGUUAAGCGUGCGGACCCUACGGGUUCGAGAACUAUGUAGACAUGACCGAGACACAUCUCCGGUCAAUAACCAAUAGCAGAACCUGCAUGCUCAUAUUGGCUCCUACAUAUUCUACGAAGAUCUUUAUCGGUCAAACCGCAUAACAACAUACGUUGUUCCCUUUGUCAUAUGUAUGUUAUUUGCCCGAGAUUCGAUCGUCGGUAUCCUCAUACCUAGUUCAAUCUCGUUACCGGUAAGUCUCUUUAAUCGUUCCGUAAUUCAUCAUCUCGUAACUAAAUCAUUAGUCACAUUGCUUGCAAGGCUUAUAGUGAUGUGCAUUACUGAGAGGGCCCGGAGAUACCUCUCCGAUACACGGAGUGACAAAUCCUAAUCUCGAUCUAUGCCAACUUAACAAACACCAUCGGAGACACCUGUAGAGCAUCUUUAUAAUCACCCAGUUACGUUGUGACGUUUGAUAGCACACUAAGUGUUCCUCCGGUAUUCGGGAGUUGCAUAAACUCAUAGUCAUAGGAACAUGUAUAAGUCAUGAAGAAAGCAAUAGCAAUAAACCUAAACGAUCAUUAUGCUAAGAUAACGGAUGGGUCUUAUCCAUCACAUCAUUCUCUAAUGAUGUGAUCCCGUUCAUCAAAUGACAACACAUGUCUAUGGUUAGGAAACUUAACCAUCUAGUAGAGGCAUACUAGGGACACUCUGUUUGUCUAUGUAUUCACACAUGUACUAAGUUUCUAGUUAAUACAAUUCUAGCAUGAAUAAUAAAGAUUUAUCAUGAUAUAAGGAAAUAUAAAUAACAACUUUAUUAUUGCCUCUAGGGCAUAUUUCCUUCAGGAAGGGCAUAGCGGGUGGGAGGGAGAAGGGGAAUUAAGAGAGUGUGGGUUUGAGUUUGGGCCUCCGCACGCUAUGUGUACACAUGUGUUGGUGGCUCGAUAGUAGUGGUUGUUGGAUAACGUAGUAAUUUCAAAAAAAUUCCUACGAACACGCAAGAUCAUGGUGAUGCACAGCAACGAGAGGGGAGAGUGUUUUCCACGUACCCUAGACCGAAAGAGGAAGCGUUAACACAACGUGGUUGAUGUAGUCGUACGUCUUCAUGAUCUGACCGAUCAAGUACCAAACGCACGGCACCUCGGAGUUCAGCACACGUUCAGCUCGAUGACGUCCCUCAAACUCCGAUCCAGCCGAGUGUUGAGGGAGAGUUUCGUCAGCACGACGGCGUGGUGACGAUGCUGAUGCUCUACCGACGCAGGGCUUCGCCUAAGCUCCGCUACGAUAUUAUCGAGGUGUAAUAUGGUGGAGGGGGCACCGCACACGGCUAAAAGAUCGUUGAUCAAUUGUGUGUCCAGAGGUGCCCCCUACCCCCGUAUAUAAAGGUGCAAGGGGGAGGCCGCCGGCCUAGGAGGUAGAGGCGCGCCAGGAGGAGUCCUACUCCUACCGGGAGUAGGACUCCCCCCCUUUCCAUGUUGGACUAGGAGUGGAAGGGGGAAGAGGUGGAGGGGAGGAAGGAAGGGGGGGCGCCGCCCCCUUCUCCUUGUCCUAUUCGGACUGGGGGGAAGGGGGGUGCGGCCCUGCCCUAGCCUCCUCUCCUCUCUUCCACCUAGGCCCAAUAAGGCCCAUUAAGUUACCGGGGGGGUCCGGUAACCUCCCGGUACUCCGGAAAAAUCCCGAUUUCACCCGAAACACUUCUGAUGUCCAAACAUAGGCUUCCAAUAUAUCAAUCUUUAUGUCUCGACCAUUUCGAGACUCCUCGUCAUGUCCGUGAUCACAUCCGGGACUCCGAACAACCUUCGGUACAUCAAAACAUAUAAACUCAUAAUAUAACUGUCAUCGUAACGUUAAGCGUGCGGACCCUACGGGUUCGAGAACUAUGUAGACAUGACCGAGACACCUCUCCGGUCAAUAACCAAUAGCGGAACCUGGAUGCUCAUAUUGGUUCCCACAUAUUCUACGAAGAUCUUUAUCGGUCAGACCGCAUAACAACAUACGUUGUUCCCUUUGUCAUCGGUAUGUUACUUGCCCGAGAUUCGAUCGUCGGUAUCUCGAUACCUAGUUCAAUCUCGUUACCGGCAAGUCUCUUUACUCGUUCCGUAAUACAUCAUCCCGCAACUAACUCAUUAGUCACAAUGCUUGCAAGGCUUAAAGUGAUGUGUAUUACUGAGUGGGCCCAGAGAUACCUCUCCGACAAUCGGAGUGACAAAUCCUAAUCUCGAAAUACGCCAACCCAACAAGUACCUUUGGAGACACCUGUAGAGCACCUUUAUAAUCACCCAGUUACGUUGUGACGUUUGGUAGCACACAAAGUGUUCCUCCGGUAAACGGGAGUUGCAUAAUCUCAUAGUCAUAGGAACAUGUAUAAGUCAUGAAGAAAGCAAUAGCAACAUACUAAACGAUCGAGUGCUAAGCUAACGGAAUGGGUCAAGCCAAUCACGUCAUUCUCCUAAUGAAGUGAUCCCGUUAAUCAAAUGACAACUCAUGUCUAUGGCUAGGAAACAUAACCAUCUUUGAUUAACGAGCUAGUCAAGUAGAGGCAUACUAGUGACACUCUGUUUGUCUAUGUAUUCACACAUGUAUUAUGUUUCCGGUUAAUACAAUUCUAGCAUGAAUAAUAAACAUUUAUCAUGAUAUAAGGAAAUAAAUAAUACUUUAUUAUUUCCUCUAGGGCAUAUUUCCUUCAGUCUCCCACUUGCACUAGAGUCAAUAAUCUAGAUUACACAGUAAUGAUUCUUACACCCAUGGAGUCUUGGUGCCGAUCAUGUUUUGCUCGUGGAAGAGGCUUAGUCAACGGGUCUGCAACAUUCAGAUCCGUAUGUAUCUUGCAAAUUUCUAUGUCUCCCACCUGGACUAAAUCCCGGAUGGAAUUGAAGCGUCUUUUGAUGUGCUUGGUUCUCUUGUGAAAUAUGGAUUCCUUUGCUAAGGCAAUUGCACCAGUAUUGUCACAAAAGAUUUUCAUUGGUCCCGAUGCACUAGGUAUGACACCUAGAUCGGAUAUGAACUCCUUCAUCCAGACUCCUUCAUUUGCUGCUUCCAAAGCAGCUAUGUACUCCGCUUCACACGUAGAUCCCGCCAUGACACUUUGCUUAGAACUGCACCAACUGACAGCUCCACCGUUCAAUGUAAAUACGUAUCCGGUUUGCGAUUUACAAUCGUCCGGAUCAGUGUCAAAGCUUGCAUCAACGUAACCAUUUACGAUGAGCUCUUUGUCACCUCCAUAAACGAGAAACAUAUCCUUAGUCCUUUUCAGGUAUUUCAGGAUGUUCUUGACCGCUGUCCAGUGAUCCGCUCCUGGAUUACUUUGGUACCUCCCUGCUAAACUUAUAGCAAGGCACACAUCAGGUCUGGUACACAGCAUUGCAUACAUGAUAGAGCCUAUGGCUGAAGCAUAGGGAACAUCUUUCAUCUUCUCUCUAUCUUCUGCAGUGGUCGGGCAUUGAGUCUUACUCAAUCUCACACCUUGUAGUACAGGCAAGAACCCUUUUUUGCUUGAUCCAUUUUGAACUUCUUCAAAACUUUGUCAAGGUAUGUGCUUUGUGAAAGUCCAAUUAAGCGUCUUGAUCUAUCUCUAUAGAUCUUGAUGCCUAAUAUAUAUGCAGCUUCACCGAGGUCUUUCAUUGAAAAGCUCUUAUUCAAGUAUCCCUUUAUGCUAUCCAGAAAUUCUAUAUCAUUUCCAAUCAGCAAUAUGUCAUCCACAUAUAAUAUUAGAAAUGCUACUGAGCUCCCACUCACUUUCUUGUAAAUACAGGCUUCUCCAAAAGUCUGUAUAAAACCAAAUGCUUUGAUCACACUAUCAAAGCGUUUAUUCCAACUCCGAGAGGCUUGCACCAGUCCAUAAAUGGAUCACUGGAGCUUGCACACUUUGUUAGCUCCCUUUGGAUUUACAAAACCUUCCGGUUGCAUCAUAUACAACUCUUCUUCCAGAAAUCCAUUCAGGAAUGCAGUUUUGACAUCCAUUUGCCAAAUUUCAUAAUCAUAAAAUGCGGCAAUUGCUAACAUGCAUGAUUCGGACAGAGUUAAGCAUCGCUACGGGUGAGAAGGUAUCAUCGUAGUCAAUCCCUUGAACUUGUCGAAAACCUUUCGCAACAAGUCGAGCUUUAUAGACAGUAACAUUACCGUCAGCGUCAGUCUUCUUCUUGAAGAUCCAUUUAUUUUCAAUGGCUUGCCGAUCAUCGGGCAAGUCAACCAAAGUCCAUACUUUGUUCUCAUACAUGGAUCCCAUCUCGGAUUUCAUGGCUUCAAGCCAUUUUGCGGAAUCUGGGCUCACCAUCGCUUCUUCAUAGUUCGUAGGUUCGUCAUGGUCUAGUAACAUAACCUCCAGAACAGGAUUACCGUACCACUCUGGUGCGGAUCUUAAUCUGGUUGAUCUACGAGGUUCAGUAAUAACUUGAUCUGAAGUUUCAUGAUCAUUAUCAUUAACUUCCCCACUAAUUGGUGUAGGUGUCGCAGAAACUGGUUUCUGUGAUGAUCUACUUUCCAAUAAGGGAGCAGGUACAGUUACCUCAUCAAGUUCUACUUUCCUCCCACUCACUUCUUUCGAGAGAAACUCCUUCUCUAGAAAGGAUCCAUUCUUAGCAACGAAUGUCUUGCCUUCGGAUCUGUGAUAGAAGGUGUACCCAACAGUCUCCUUUGGGUAUCCUAUGAAGACACAUUUCUCCGAUUUAGGUUCGAGAUUAUCAGGUUGAAGUUUCUUCACAUAAGCAUCGCAACCCCAAACUUUAAGAUACGACAACUUUGGUUUCUUGCCAAACCAUAGUUCAUAAGGUGUCGUUUCAACGGAUUUUGAUGGUGCCCUAUUUAGAGUGAAUGUAGCCGUCUCUAAAGCAUAACCCCAAAACGACAGCGGUAAAUCAGUAAGAGACAUCAUAGAUCGCACCAUAUCUAGUAAAGUACGAUUACGACGUUCGGACACACCGUUACGCUGUGGUGUUCCGGGUGGCGUGAGUUGCGAAACUAUUCUGCAUUGUUUCAAAUGUAGGCCAAACUCGUAACUCAAAUAUUCUCCUCCACGAUCUGAUCGUAGAAACUUUAUUUUCUUGUUACGAUGAUUUCCAACUUCGCUCUGAAAUUCUUUGAACUUUUCAAAUGUUUCAGACUUAUGUUUCAUUAAGUAGAUAUACCCAUAUCUGCUCAAAUCAUCUGUGAAGGUGAGAAAAUAACGAUAUCCGCCACGAGCCUCAAUAUUCAUCGGACCACAUACAUCUGUAUGUAUGAUUUCCAAUAAAUUUGUUGCUCUCUCCAUAGUUCCGGAGAACGGUGUUUUAGUCAUCUUGCCCAUGAGGCACGGUUCGCAAGUACCAAGUGAUUCCAAAAGUCCAUCGGUAUGGAGUUUCUUCAUGCGCUUUACACCGAUAUGACCUAAACGGCAGUGCCACAAAUAAGUUGCACUGUCAUUAUCAACUCUGCAUCUUUUGGCUUCGACAUUAUGAAUAUGUGUGUCACUACUAUCGAGAUUCAUUAAAAAUAGACCACUCUUCAAGGGUGCAUGACCAUAAAAGAUAUUAUUCAUAUAAAUAGAACAACCAUUAUUCUCUGAUUUAAAUGAAUAACCGUCUCGCAUUAAACAAGAUCCAGAUAUAAUGUUCAUGCUCAACGCUGGCACCAAAUAACAAUUAUUUAGGUCUAAAACUAAUCCCGAAGGUAGAUGUAGAGGUAGCGUGCCGACCGCGAUCACAUCGACUUUGGAACCAUUUCCCACGCGCAUCGUCACCUCGUCCUUAGCCAAUCUUCGCUUAAUCCGUAGCCCCUGUUUCGAGUUGCAAAUAUUAGCAACAGAACCAGUAUCAAAUACCCAGGUGCUACUGCGAGCAUUAGUAAGGUACACAUCAAUAACAUGUAUAUCACAUAUACCUUUGUUAACCUUGCCAUCCUUCUUAUCCGCCAAAUACUUGGGGCAGUUCCGCUUCCAGUGACCAGUCUGCUUGCAGUAGAAGCACUUAGUUUUAGGCUUAGGUCCAGACUUGGGUUUCUUCUCCUGAACAGCAACUUGCUUGCUGUUCUUCUUGAAGUUCCCCUUCUUCUUCCCUUUGCCCUUUUUCUUGAAACUAGUGGUCUUACUGACCAUCAACACUUGAUGCUCCUUUUUGAUUUCUACCUCUGCUGCCUUUAGCAUUGCGAAGAGCUCGGGAAUUGUCUUAUUCAUCCCUUGCAUGUUAUAGUUCAUCACGAAGCUCUUGUAGCUUGGUGGCAGUGAUUGAAGAAUUCUGUCAAUGACGCUAUCAUCCGGAAGAUUAACUCCCAGUUGAAUCAAGUGAUUAUUAUACCCCAGACAUUUUGAGUAUAUGCUCACUGACAGAACUAUUCUCUUCCAUCUUGCAGCUGUAGAACUUAUUGGAGACUUCAUAUCUCUCAAUCCGGGCAUUUGCUUGAAAUAUUAACUUCAACUCCUGGAACAUCUCAUAUGCUCCAUGACGUUCAAAACGUCGUUGAAGACCCGGUUCUAAGCCGUAAAGCAUGGCACACUGAACUAUCGAGUAGUCAUCAGCUUUGCUCUGCCAGACGUUCAUAACUUCUGGUGUUGCUCUUGCAGGAGGCCUGGCACCUAGCGGUGCUUCCAGGACGUAAUUCUUCUAUGCAGCAAUGAGGAUAAUCCUCAAGUUACGGACCCAGUCCGUGUAAUUGAUACCAUCAUCUUUCAACUUUGCUUUCUCAAGGAACGCAUUAAAAUUCAACGGAACAACAGCACGGGCCAUUUAUCUACAAUUAACAUAGACAAGCAAGAUACUAUCAGGUACUAAGUUCAUGAUAAAUUUAAGUUCUAUUAAUCAUAUUUCUUAAGAACUCCCACUUAGAUAGACAUCCCUCUAAUCAUCUAAGUGAUUACGUGAUCCAAAUCAACUAAACCAUGUCCGAUAAUCACGUGAGUUGGAGUAGUUUCAAUGGUGAACAUCACUAUGUUGAUCAUAUCUACUAUAUGAUUCACGCUCGACCUUUCGGUCUCCGUGUUCCGAGGCCAUAUCUGCAUAUGCUAGGCUCGUCAAGUUUAACCUGAGUAUUCCGCGUGUGCAACUGUUUUGCACCCGUUGUAUUUGAACGUAGAGCCUAUCACACCCGAUCAUCACGUGGUGUCUCAGCACAAAGAACUUUCGCAACGGUGCAUACUCAGGUAGAACACUUUUAUCUUGAAAUUUUAGUGAGAGGUCAUCUUAUAAUGCUACCGUCAAUCAAAGCAAGAUAAGAUGCAUAAAAGAUAAACAUCACAUGCAAUCAAUAUCAGUGAUAUGAUAUGGCCAUCAUCAUCUUGUGCUUGUGAUCUCCAUCUCCGAAGCACCGUCAUGAUCACCAUCGUCACCGGCUCGACACCUUGAUCUCCAUCGUAGCAUCGUUGUCGUCUCGCCAACUAUUGCUUUUACGACUAUCGCUACCGCUUAGUGAUAAAGUAAAACAAUUACAUGGCGAUUGCAUUGCAUACAAUAAGCGACAGCCAUAUGGCUCCUGCCAGUUGCCGAUAACUCGGUUACAAAAAAUGAUCAUCUCAUACAAUAAAAUAUAGCAUCAUGUCUUGACCAUAUCACAUCACAACAUGCCCUGCAAAAACAAGUUACACGUCCUCUACUUCGUUGUUGCAAGUUUUACGUGGCUGCUACGGGCUUAGCAACAACCGUUCUUACCUACGCAUCAAAACCACAAUGAUGGUUUGUCAAGUUGGUGCUGUUUUAACCUUCGCAAGGACCGGGCGUAGCCACACUCGGUUCAACUAAACUGAGAGAGACAGACACCCGCCAGUCACCUUUAAGCAACGAGUGCACGCAACGGUGAAACCAGUCUCGCGUAAGCGUACGCGUAAUGUCGGUCCGGGCCGCUUCAUCUCACAAUACCGCCGAACCAAAGUAUGACAUGCUGGUAAGCAGUAUGACUUAUAUCGCCCACAACUCACUUGUGUUCUACUCAUGCAUAGCAUCAACGCAUAAAACCAGGCUCGGAUGCCACUGUUGGGUAACGUAGUAAUUUCAAAAAAAAUCCUACGAACACGCAAGAUCAUGGUGAUGCACAGCAACGAGAGGGGAGAGUGUUGUCCAUGUACCCUCAUAGACCGAAAGCGGAAGCGUUAACACAACGCGGUUGAUGUAGUCGUACGUCUUCACGAUCUGACCGAUCAAGUACCGAACGCACGGCACCUCCGAGUUCAGCACACGUUCAGCUCGAUGACGUCCCUCGAACUCCGAUCCAGCCGAGUGUUGAGGGAGAUUUUUGUCAGCAUGACGGUGUGGUGACGAUGAUGAUGUUCUACCGACGCAGGGCUUCGCCUAAGCUCCGGUACGAUAUUAUCGAGGUGUAAUAUGGUGGAGGGGGGCACCGCACACGGCUAAAAGAUCGUUGAUCAAUUGUGUGUCCAGAGGUGCCCCCUGCCCCCGUAUAUAAAGGUGCAAGGGGGAGGCCGCCGGCCUAGGAGGUAGAGGCGCGCCAAGAGGAGUCCUACUCCUACCGGGAGUAGGACUCCCCCCCUUUCCAUGUUGGACUAGGAGUGGAAGGGGGAAGAGGUGGAGGGGAGGAAGGAAGGGGGGCGCCGCCCCCUUCUCCUUGUCCUAUUCGGACUGGGGGGGAAGCGGGGCGCGGCCCUGCCCUAGCCUCCUCUCCUCUCUUCCACCUAGGCCCAAUAAGGCCCAUUAAGUUACCGGGGGGGUCCGGUAACCUCCCGGUACUCCGGAAAAAUCCCGAUUUCACCCGGAACACUUCCGAUGUCCAAACAUAGGCUUCCAAUAUAUCAAUCUUUAUGUCUCGACCAUUUCGAGACUCCUUGUCAUGUCCGUGAUCACAUCCGGGACUCCGAACAACCUUCGGUACAUCAAAACAUAUAAACUCAUAAUAUAACUGUCAUCGUAACGUUAAGCGUGCGGACCCUACGGGUUCGAGAACUAUGUAGACAUGACCGAGACACCUCUCCGGUCAAUAACCAAUAGCGGAACCUGGAUGCUCAUAUUGGUUCCCACAUAUUCUACGAAGAUCUUUAUUGGUCAGACCGCAUAACAACAUACGUUGUUCCCUUUGUCAUCGGUAUGUUACUUGCCCGAGAUUCGAUCGUCGGUAUCUCGAUACCUAGUUCAAUCUCGUUACCGGCAAGUCUCUUUACUCGUUCCGUAAUACAUCAUCCCGCAACUAACUCAUUAGUUACAAUGCUUGCAAGGCUUAUAGUGAUGUGCAUUACCGAGUGGGCCCAGAGAUACCUCCCGACAAUCGGAGUGACAAAUCCUAAUCUCGAAAUACGCCAACCCAACAAGUACCUUUGGAGACACCUGUAGAGCACCUUUAUAAUCACCCAGUUACGUUGUGACGUUUGGUAGCACACAAAGUGUUCCUCCGGUAAACGGGAGUUGCAUAAUCUCAUAGUCAUAGGAACAUGUAUAAGUCAUGAAGAAAGCAAUAGCAACAUACUAAACGAUCGAGUGCUAAGCUAACGGAAUGGGUCAAGCCAAUCACGUCAUUCUCCUAAUGAAGUGAUCCCGUUAAUCAAAUGACAACUCAUGUCUAUGGCUAGGAAACAUAACCAUCUUUGAUUAACGAGCUAGUCAAGUAGAGGCAUACUAGUGACACUCUGUUUGUCUAUGUAUUCACACAUGUAUUAUGUUUCCGGUUAAUACAAUUCUAGCAUGAAUAAUAAACAUUUAGCAUGAUAUAAGGAAAUAAAUAAUACUUUAUUAUUGCCUCUAGGGCAUAUUUCCUUCAGUGGCGCCGGGUUAAGACCCCACGCUACUACUAUGGCCUAUCCCGAGGGGGUACGGUAGAGACCACUUAGUAGUGGCGAGGGGUUUAUACCCCUCGCUAAUACUAUCAACUUAGUAGUAGUGAGGGAUUUAUACCCCUCCAUACUACUAUGGCCAGUCCCGGGGGGCACGGUGGAGACCACUUAGUAGUAGUGUGGGGUUUAUACCCCUCGCUACUACUAUCAACUUAGUAGUAGCGUGGGUUCUAUACCCCUCGCUACUAAUAAUUAGCAGCAGUGUGGCCCAUAUACCCCUCAAUACUGUUAAGCAUCUAUCUAUAAGGUAUUUUCUAGUAGUGCAUGGAUGGCGGCGAAAUCAGUCGUUCUGCUUGUUUUCCCUACUAGCUCUCUGACGUCCAGAACAAGUUUACGGUCAUAAGGUGCAAUGCCCUUGCCUUCGUGAGUGACACGAUGACACGGGAAUGGGCUUCCAAGCCUAUGGUGUCGCAUCGUCUCAUGGUCUGCUAGACUUAGUGGACGGAUGCUACUCCAGUAUCGGUUGAUCCCAUACUAUGAUACCAAGGAAGACACGUAACUACUAUAUAUAUAUUUCUUCAAGUCAGUCAACACAAGUAAAAUCUGGGAGUUCAACCGGUGCAGCUAUGCAAUGCUAAUGGAGACAACACAAUUCAACUUUAGCACUUCACACAUAAGCAACACCACGUUCAAUGGCACACACCUUAGAGUGUACCAAUGGUGGUUGAUUGGGCUAUAAGAAAUGUGAGUCCAUGUGAAGAUGCCAAACAUAAUAACACGGCUAAUUACACAUGCAGUGGCAGCAGCAACAAGUGCGUGAAUUCCACAAAUGAUCUAGGGUACACAUGCAACUGUGUCCUUGAGUAUGACAACAACCCUUAUCUUCUAGACAAAUGCAUGGUAUGCUACUAAUUUAUUUGCUACAAAAUCCAAUGAAUUGUGUCCUUUACUUUGUACAUACCCAAUUAUGAUAUUUGAUUUUGCUAAUACAAUGUAGCUUUCAAUUUAAACCAAGUUUUGCAUCAAUUAAUUAUGUUAGGUUCAUAUGACUUCACUACAUAAAUAGGUAGAUAAUGCAUAAGACUGAGAUUGUAGCUAGGGAUGAAAAACUAAAUAUGGCAUGAAUCUAACAAUUAUGAGUGAUGUCUUUGUGACAAGAACUUCCUUUGUCUUUUAUUCCCAUGUUUGAACUAGUAUAGGUCGGGGUUACACAUUAUGGUGCACAUCACUUUAUUUAUCAUCAUUACAUUGAACACUCAUUGACUAAACAACGAUGAUCCAUCCGUCUUGUAUUACAGGUCUUCAUUUCAUUGGCCAUCGAUGCUUGUAAGACUACUCCCAUAUGGUUGUUGUUGUGGAUAUGGUUGUUGAGGUUGGUGUGGUUGCUGGGGGAAUGGUUGUUGGGGUUGCUGGGAAAUUGUUUGUUCUAGUUGCUGGGAUAAUUGUUGUUGGGGCUGCAGAAAUGGUUGUUGUGGUUGCAGGAUGGAUGGUUGUUGGGGUUGCUGGGGUUGGGGCUGGGGAAAUGAUUGUUGUGAUUGUUGGGGUUGCUGGGAAAAUGGUUGUUGCGGUCGUAGGGGGAAUGGUUGUUGUGGUUNNNNNNNNNNNNNNNNNNNNNNNNNNNNNNNNNNNNNNNNNNNNNNNNNNNNNNNNNNNNNNNNNNNNNNNNNNNNNNNNNNNNNNNNNNNNNNNNNNNNNNNNNNNNNNNNNNNNNNNNNNNNNNNNNNNNNNNNNNNNNNNNNNNNNNNNNNNNNNNNNNNNNNNNNNNNNNNNNNNNNNNNNNNNNNNNNNNNNNNNNNNNNNNNNNNNNNNNNNNNNNNNNNNNNNNNNNNNNNNNNNNNNNNNNNNNNNNNNNNNNNNNNNNNNNNNNNNNNNNNNNNNNNNNNNNNNNNNNNNNNNNNNNNNNNNNNNNNNNNNNNNNNNNNNNNNNNNNNNNNNNNNNNNNNNNNNNNNNNNNNNNNNNNNNNNNNNNNNNNNNNNNNNNNNNNNNNNNNNNNNNNNNNNNNNNNNNNNNNNNNNNNNNNNNNNNNNNNNNNNNNNNNNNNNNNNNNNNNGCCAGGGAAAUGGUUGUUGCGGCUGUGGAAAAGGUUGUUGUGGUUGUUGGGGUUGCUGGGGGAAUGGUUGUUGUGGUUGUAGGGGGGUCGGUUGUUGGGGCUGGGUAAAUGGUUGUUGUGAUUGCUGGGGAAAUUGUGGUUGGGGUGUGGGAAAUGGUUGUUGCGAUGGAUAUGGUUGCUGUGAUGGAUAUGGUUGUUGUGGAUAUGGUUGCUGUGGAAAUGGUUGUUGUUGAUGGGAAAAUGAUUGUUGAGGUGAUUGUAGCUCUUUGUUGCUAGGGUUUAGCUGCCUAGCAGCAGUGGCGAUGUUCAUCGCCAUGGCAAGGAGGACAAAGAUGAGGAAGGUCUUCAUGUUUGAUUUGUGGUUACUACUGCUUGCUUGCCUUUGAUGCUUGUGGUCUAGGUGUGUGAAGUUUGGAUGAUGGAAGGUGUCCUUGGUGGUGCAUGUGUAUUUAUAGUUUUCAUGGCAUGGCUUGCUUUCAUCUUUGCACUCGCUUUUUGAAAAAGUG
rnacentral:lncRNA from 1 species